rnacentral:rRNA from 1 species
ACGGGGGUUGCAAGCGUUGUCCGGAAUUACUAGGCGUAAAGGGCAGGUAGGCGGAUCCAUAAGUUUUUUGUUAAAGGCGACGGCUUACCCGUUGUAAGGCAGGAGAUACUGUGGAUCUGGAAUGCGGUUGGGGAAGACAGAAUUCCUGGUGUAGAGGUGAAAGACCAUAAUUUCAGGAGGAAUACCGAAAGUGAAGGCAGCCAACUGGACCGACAUUGACGCUAGGCUGCGAAGGUGAGGGUCUCUAACCG